AGUGGAUGGGGAGCAACCUAGUUGUGCGUGUGUAAAGGUAGUGCCAAGAAAAGCGAUGAUCAUGUUGAAAAUCAAUUCCCGGUACCCGAAACCGACACAGGUGGGCAAGUAGAGAAUACUAAGGGGCGCGAGGUAACUCUCUCCAAGGAACUCGGCAAAAUGACCCCGUAACUUAGGGAGAAGGGGUGCCACCGAGAGGUGGUCGCAGUGAAGAGGCCCAGGCGACUGUUUAGCAAAAACAUAGGUCUCUGCAAACUCGAAAGAGGAGGUAUAGGGGCUGACGCCUGCCCAGUGCCGGAAGGUUAAAGAAGUUGGUCAGUCUUAGGAUGAAGCUAGCGACUGAAGCCCCGGUGAACGGCGGCCGUAACUAUAACGGUCCUAAGGUAGCGAAAUUCCUUGUCGGGUAAGUUCCGACCCGCACGAAAGGCGUAACGAUCUGGGCGCUGUCUCGGAGAGAGGCUCGGCGAAAUAGGAUUGUCUGUGAAGAUACGGACUACCUGCAUUUGGACAGAAAGACCCUAUGAAGCUUUACUAUAGCUUGGAAUUGUGUUCGGGCUUCCUGUGCGCAGGAUAGGUGGGAGGCGUAGAAGGUAUUCUUGUGGGGAUACUGGAGCCAACGGUGAGAUACCACUCUCAGGAGGCUAGAAUUCUAACUUAAUUAAGGACAGUUUCAGGUGGGUAGUUUGACUGGGGCGGUCGCCUCCAAAAAGGUAACGGAGGCGUACAAAGGUUCCCUCAGACUGGUUGGAAAUCAGUCGAAGAGUGCAAAGGCAGAAGGGAGCUUGACUGCGAGAAGUACAGUUCGAGCAGGGUGGAAACACGGUCUUAGUGAUCCGACGGUGCUGUGUGGAAGGGCCGUCGCUCAACGGAUAAAAGUUACUCUAGGAUAACAGGCUGAUCUCCCCCAAGAGUUCACAUCGACGGGGAGGUUUGGCACCUCGAUGUCGGCUCAUCGCAACCUGGGGCGGAAGUACGUCCCAAGGGUUGGGCUGUUCGCCCAUUAAAGCGGUACGUGAGCUGGGUUCAGAACGUCGUGAGACAGUUCGGUCCAUAUCCGAUGUAGGCGUGAGAAUAUUGAGAGGAGCCUUCCUUAGUACGAGAGGACCGGGAAGGACGCACCGCUGGUGUACCUGUUAUGAUGCCAAUUGUAAACGCAGGGUAGCCAAGUGCGGAGAGGAUAACCGCUGAAAGCAUCUAAGUGGGAAGCCCACCUCAAGAUGAGUAUUCUGGUGUAAGGUCACGGGAAGACGACCCGUAAAUAGGCACGAGGUGGAAGUGCAGAGAUGUAUGAAGCCGAAGUGUACUAAUAGACCGUCGGCUUGACCAA
rnacentral:rRNA from 1 species